rnacentral:rRNA from 1 species
CACGUAGGGCGCAAGCGUUGUCCGGAAUUAUUGGGCGUAAAGAGCUCGUAGGUGGUUUGUUACGUCCGCUGUGAAAUCCUAGGGCUUAACCCUGGGCUUGCAGUGGAUACGGGCAGACUAGAGGUAGGUAGGGGAGAAUGGAAUUCCUGGUGUAGCGGUGAAAUGCGUAGAUAUCAGGAGGAACACCGGUGGCGAAGGCGGGUCUCUGGGCAGUAACUGACGCUGAGGAGCGAAAGCGUGGGGAGCGAACAGG